AGAGAGAGAGAGAGAGAGAGAGAGAUUCCGGGAUCGAAAAACUUCCGACCUUCGAACGUCCGGUGAGCAUUGGAGACAAUUGAGAAAGUUCUCCAUAUUAGAGCUCUUUAGCAAGAAGAGAGUGCAGUCCUUUAAGAGAGUGAAAGUAGAUGGAGUGCAUGUCUUGAUCCAAACUAAGGCAUUCUUGCUCUCAAGAUGCAAAUCCAUUGGUGAUUUCUUCCCUUCUUUGCAAUACUUGAUCAUUAUGGUCACUGGAUUUCUUGAAAGCUUGUGAGCCGGAUAAGCCCGGGUUGGUCGCCACUUCUCUCUUUAAUCCUAUCUUCGAGAGAAGCCUUGCUUUUCUCCUUGAUGGCUGCCACCUUGAUAUUGUAGUUCCUCCUAGUCAUCACACCAAGACCACUUGAGAAGUGGCUUUGGGUCUUCGCAUUUUGUCUUGGACUAGAGUAUUUUCGAGAUCAAGAGUGAUAGACCAGCGUGGAUCUUGAAAGAUUGUCUGUGGAUGUUUUCUUAUCCUAUUGUAAAUUUUGAGUUCUUGUCAUUGUCUAUCCCUGUAUUCCUAUAUUUUGUAUUUUGGACUUCUAUAUCCCCAUAUUUUGUACUAUGUAGAGUCUGUAACCCAGUGACUUAGUUGGUUCUUUAUAAGUUAUUUGCUCUAAAUAAAGUUCUGAGGCCUUGCAGGCUUAUAGGGUUUACGCCCUGUGGGUCUGCGGCCGUUUGUCCAUAUGACGGAUCCAGCCGGGCGGGGUUCGGGGCGUGACAAUUAGUGGAUGCUUAUUGAAGGUCAACUUCCUCUUCAAAGCUCUCUUAUUCUUUUUCUUCUUCAAAGUAACUCAACCCUUGGAGCUUUUGGUGUCUAAAGAAGGUUGAAACUCAGUUUAUCUCUUGAAGCUCUUGGUGACGGAAGAAGGAAACUCUUCACCAGCAUUUGAUCACCGGCAAGCUUAUAGGUAGGUCAUCCCUGCUAUUGUAGAUCGUUGCGGGUCUUGGUGUCAAAUUGAAACCAUGUUGAAAUGCUAGUCUAGUUCUGAUGUUCUGUUUUGUUUUUAUUAAUUACUUGCAAGCAGUCCUUGACUGUUGACAUGUGUUCUGGUUUUGAGUUCUGAAAGUUUAACUACUUUGCUUUCUAUUUUCCUCUCAUGUCCAUGCAUGGAAAUUACAUCUUGGAUUAUUUUAUUCUCCUUGUAAGCAUGCAGUCUUAGUAUAAUUCAUUAUAUUUAUGUAUAUAUAAAUGCUUCUAAGCAUGAGAUUUUGU